rnacentral:rRNA from 1 species
AUUGAACGCUGGCGGCAGGCCUAAGACAUGCAAGUCGAGCGGAUGAAGGGAGCUUGCUCCUGGAUUCAGCGGCGGACGGGUGAGUAAUGCCUAGGAAUCUGCCUGGUAGUGGGGGAUAACGUCCGGAAACGGGCGCUAAUACCGCAUACGUCCUGAGGGAGAAAGUGGGGGAUCUUCGGACCUCACGCUAUCAGAUGAGCCUAGGUCGGAUUAGCUAGUUGGUGGGGUAAAGGCCUACCAAGGCGACGAUCCGUAACUGGUCUGAGAGGAUGAUCAGUCACACUGGAACUGAGACACGGUCCAGACUCCUACGGGAGGCAGCAGUGGGGAAUAUUGGACAAUGGGCGAAAGCCUGCUCCAGCCAUGCCGCGUGUGUGAAGAAGGUCUUCGGAUUGUAAAGCACUUUAAGUUGGGAGGAAGGGCAGUAAGUUAAUACCUUGCUGUUUUGACGUUACCAACAGAAUAAGCACCGGCUAACUUCGUG